AAUGUGGUGGUAGAGCCUGAACACACGGUGCCCGGCAGCAUCCUACUGCUGAGCUAGCUAUCACUCUGCUCUGACAGAAAAAAGCUCGCCAUCACUCACAACGCUCAAUUCUCAGUUCUGGAAAGCCCCUGAAGCACUGGGAUCAAGCCCAGGCCAGCCUUGUGAUGAUGAACAGCACAGGCCCUCGGCUGACAUCCAGUCGACCCUGGGACAGGGUCUACAUAUUCGAGCCCUCAAACGCAAUAUGUAAUUGCGGGAGCCCUUGAACUUCGGAUCCUCCUGGAUGCUGAGCAAAGCCACCAAACAGAAGGAGAUGCCAAAGCGUAUGCCCUGCUCUUCUCUACCACCGAGAGGGGGAAACUCGCCCCCUUGUUUCACCCAGACCAGCCAACCGAAGCCAUGGGUAAAGCCUGCCUGUCGGCUGCCACCCUCUCCUCCUGUACCUGACCUCCUCCAGCCUCAACUCUGCUCUGCCGGAUGCCGCUGGAACCCUGCCAGCUCUGACUCAUCUUUUCCCCCCCGCAGGUCCCUGUGGCUCACGCCCUGGGCAGAAGUUGCUUUUCUGAGUCAUUUGUCACAGGAUGGCACGAUGCAGUGUCUCACCCUUAAGGGAAACUGGUGUCCUCAUCCUUCUGUGUAGGGAAGUGAUUUAAGGCAGCUCUUCAGGAGGGUGAUUUAACGCUGUCUCCCAGCCCUCUUAAAAUGCACUUAGCGUUCCAACUACUAGCAAGAUUAUUUUCUUCUCUGAAGAUGAUCUUAAGUUCACGUCAAGAUAGACAAGCACGGCAGCAGCGGCCUGCACGACACUGGGUCUGAGCAGCAUCCAAUCAUAGGGUGGGGGAGGCUCAAGGGGCCGCACCCUU